rnacentral:rRNA from 1 species
GACGAACCGUGCGAACGUUGUUCGGAAUCACUGGGCUUAAAGGGCGCGUAGGCGGGCUGGCAAGUCAGGGGUGAAAGCCCACGGCUCAACCGUGGAAGUGCCUCUGAUACUGCCGGCCUGGAGGGAGGUAGGGGCGUGCGGAACUUCCGGUGGAGCGGUGAAAUGCGUAGAUAUCGGGAGGAACACCAGUGGCGAAGGCGACUACCUGGCCUGUUCUUGACGCUGAGGCGCGAAAGCUAGGAGAGCAAACGGG